UGGGGAAUAUUGCACAAUGGGCGCAAGCCUGAUGCAGCCAUGCCGCGUGUGUGAAGAAGGCCUUCGGGUUGUAAAGCACUUUCAGCGGGGAGGAAGGCGUUAAGGUUAAUAACCUUGGCGAUUGACGUUACCCGCAGAAGAAGCACCGGCUAACCCCGUGCCAGCAGCCGCGGUAAUACGGAGGGUGCAAGCGUUAAUCGGAAUUACUGGGCGUAAAGCGCACGCAGGCGGUCUGUCAAGUCGGAUGUGAAAUCCCCGGGCUCAACCUGGGAACUGCAUUCGAAACUGGCAGGCUAGAGUCUUGUAGAGGGGGGUAGAAUUCCAGGUGUAGCGGUGAAAUGCGUAGAGAUCUGGAGGAAUACCGGUGGCGAAGGCGGCCCCCUGGACAAAGACUGACGCUCAGGUGCGAAAGCGUGGGGAGCAAACAGG
rnacentral:rRNA from 1 species